rnacentral:rRNA from 1 species
GGUGAACGCUGGCGGCGUGCUUAAGACAUGCAAGUCGAACGGCAGUCUUCGGACUGUAGUGGCGCACGGGUGAGUAACGCGUAACUGACCUACCCCAAAGUCGCGGAUAACGAUUCGAAAGAAUCGCUAAUACGUGAUGUGCUGUCAGAUUGUGUUCUGCCAGUAAAGAUUGAUUGCUUUGGGAUGGGGUUGCGUUCCAUCAGCUAGUUGGUGGGGGAAAGGCCCACCAAGGCGACGACGGAUAGCCGGCCUGAGAGGGUGGCCGGCCACAGGGGCACUGAGACACGGGUCCCACUCCUACGGGGGGCAGCAGUUAGGAAUCUUCCACAAUGGGCGAAAGCCUGAUGGAGCGACGCCGCGUGAGGGAUGAAGGUCUUCGGAUCGUAAACCUCUGAAUCAGGGACGAAAGACACUUCGGUGGGAUGACGGUACCUGAGUAAUAGCACCGGCUAACUCCGUGCCAGCCGCCGCCGUAAAAC